rnacentral:rRNA from 1 species
UACGGAGGGUGCGAGCGUUGUCCGGAAUCACUGGGCGUAAAGGGCGCGUAGGCGGCCGGAGAAGUCGGUGGUGAAAGCUCGGGGCUCAACUCCGAGUCGGCCACCGAUACUGUUCGGCUCGAGUUUGGUAGAAGCAGAUGGAAUUCCGGGUGUAGCGGUGGAAUGCGUAGAGAUCCGGAAGAACACCGGUGGCGAAGGCGGUCUGCUGGGCCAAGACUGACGCUGAGGCGCGACAGCGUGGGGAGCAAACAGG